rnacentral:rRNA from 1 species
UACAGAGACUGCAAGCGUUAUUCGGAUUCACUGGGCGUAAAGGGUGCGCAGGUGGCCAGGUGUGUCAGAUGUGAAAUCCCGGAGCUUAACUCCGGAACUGCGUCUGAAACUGCUUGGCUAGAGCAUUGGAGAGGGAAGUGGAAUUCACGGUGUAGCAGUGAAAUGCGUAGAUAUCGUGAGGAACACCAGAGGCGAAGGCGACUUCCUGGACAAUUGCUGACACUCAGGCACGAAAGCGUGGGUAGCCAAAGGG